rnacentral:rRNA from 1 species
UUGACCUCAAAUCAGGUAGGACUACCCGCUGAACUUAAGCAUAUCAAUAAGCGGAGGAAAAGAAACUAACAAGGAUUCCCCUAGUAACUGCGAGUGAAGCGGGAAAAGCUCAAAUUUAAAAUCUGGCGGUCUCCGGCCGUCCGAGUUGUAAUCUAGAGAAGUGUUAUCCGCGCUGGACCGUGUACAAGUCUCCUGGAAUGGAGCGUCAUAGAGGGUGAGAAUCCCGUCUUUGACACGGACUACCAGGGCUUUGUGAUGCGCUCUCAAAGAGUCGAGUUGUUUGGGAAUGCAGCUCAAAAUGGGUGGUAAAUUCCAUCUAAAGCUAAAUAUUGGCGAGAGACCGAUAGCGAACAAGUAC